rnacentral:rRNA from 1 species
CAAGCGGCCAGGCUUAACACAUGCARVKCGGGGGUAUAGUUCUUCGGAAUUAGAGACCGGCGCACGGGUGCGUAACGCGUAUGCAAUCUACCUUUUACAGAGGGAUAGCCCAGAGAAAUUUGGAUUAAUACCUCAUAGUAUAGUUCUACCGCAUGGUAGUACUAUUAAAGUCACAACGGUAAAAGAUGAGCAUGCGUCCCAUUAGCUAGUUGGUAAGGUAACGGCUUACCAAGGCUACGAUGGGUAGGGGUCCUGAGAGGGAGAUCCCCCACACUGGUACUGAGACACGGACCAGACUCCUACGGGAGGCAGCAGUGAGGAAUAUUGGACAAUGGGCGCAAGCCUGAUCCAGCCAUGCCGCGUGCAGGAUGACGGUCCUAUGGAUUGUAAACUGCUUUUAUACGAGAAGAAACACUCCAACGUGUUGGAGCUUGACGGUAUCGUAAGAAUAAGGAUCGGCUAACUCCGUGCCAGCAGCCGCGGUAAUACGGAGGAUCCAAGCGUUAUCCGGAAUCAUUGGGUUUAAAGGGUCCGUAGGCGGUUUAAUAAGUCAGUGGUGAAAGCCCAUCGCUCAACGGUGGAACGGCCAUUGAUACUGUUAAACUUGAAUUAUUAGGAAGUAACUAGAAUAUGUAGUGUAGCGGUGAAAUGCUUAGAGAUUACAUGGAAUACCAAUUGCGAAGGCAGGUUACUACUAAUGGAUUGACGCUGAUGGACGAAAGCGUGGGUAGCGAACAGGAUUAGAUACCCUGGUAGUCCACGCCGUAAACGAUGGAUACUAGCUGUUGGAAGCAAUUUCAGUGGCUAAGCGAAAGUGAUAASUAUCCCACCUGGGGAGUACGUUCGCAAGAAUGAAACUCAAAGGAAUUGACGGGGGCCCGCACAAGCGGUGGAGCAUGUGGUUUAAUUCGAUGAUACGCGAGGAACCUUACCAAGGCUUAAAUGUAGUUUGACCGAUUUGGAAACAGAUCUUUCGCAAGACAAAUUACAAGGUGCUGCAUGGUUGUCGUCAGCUCGUGCCGUGAGGUGUCAGGUUAAGUCCUAUAACGAGCGCAACCCCUGUUGUUAGUUGCCAGCGAGUCAUGUCGGGAACUCUAACAAGACUGCCAGUGCAAACUGUGAGGAAGGUGGGGAUGACGUCAAAUCAUCACGGCCCUUACGCCUUGGGCUACACACGUGCUACAAUGGCCGGUACAGAGAGCAGCCACUGGGCGACCAGGAGCGAAUCUAUAAAACCGGUCACAGUUCGGAUCGGAGUCUGCAACUCGACU